CGGGUCUGUUCAACCGACGGAAAGAACAUUUUAGUUUGGCCCCCCGAAACUAAGCGAGCUACUCCAAAACAGCCUUUAGGGCUAACCCGUCUCUGUUGCAAAAGAGUGGGAAGAUUUUCGAGUAGUGGUGAUAAGCCUACCGAGCUUAGAGAUAGCUGGUUAUUCAGAAAAAGAAUUUUAGUUCUGCCUUAAGUCUUUACAUUAAUCAAAACAAUAAACUAGGCUUAAGAGUUAUUCAAAUAAGGCACAGCUUAUUUGAAAAAGGACACAACCUAUAAUAAAGGGUAAGUCUCACUAUUAAUAAUCAAGUGGGCUUAAAAGCAGCCACCUUUCAAAAAGCGUUAAAGCUUCAUUAUUUUUGUAUUUUAAUACCUAAAACCCCCACCAACCCUUUACCUGUACUGAAUGACUCCAUAUACCUAUGGAAGACAUCAUGCUAGAACUAGUAACAAGAAAUAAAUUUUCUCCUCAAUGUGUGUGUAAGCCGGGAUAAACCGCCGGCAAUUAACGUAAAUGAAUACCUUAUAGCAACUGAUACUAGAAAAACCUAUAUGUGUUAACCGUUAGUCUUACACUAGGACAUUACCGGAAAGAUUAAAAGGGAAAGAAGGAACUCGGCAAAUUUUAACCCCGCCUGUUUACCAAAAACAUCGCCUCUUGAUCAACCAUAAGAGGUCCAGCCUGCCCGGUGACAAAGUUUAACGGCCGCGGUACCCUAACCGUGCGAAGGUAGCAUAAUCACUUGUUCUUUAAAUAGGGACUAGUAUCAACGGCAUCACGAGGGUUACACUGUCUCCUUUCCUCAAUCAGUGAAACUGAUCUCCCCGUGAAGAAGCGGGGAUAUGACUAUAAGACGAGAAGACCCCAUGGAGCUUUAAGCUCAACAACACCUCCACAUAAAUAUACCCCUAUAACCCACGAACCCUGUUUGUUAGCUUUAGGUUGGGGUGACCGCGGAGUAUAAUAUAACCUCCACGACGAAUAGGCCUAAAACCUUUAUCCAAGAGCCACUGCUCUAAGAAUCAUAAAAUUGACGUAAAAUGAUCCGAUUUUCGAUCAACGAACCAAGUUACCCUGGGGAUAACAGCGCAAUCCAUUUCAAGAGCCCCUAUCGACAAAUGGGUUUACGACCUCGAUGUUGGAUCAGGGUAUCCUAGUGGUGCAGCC
rnacentral:rRNA from 1 species